rnacentral:rRNA from 1 species
GACAGAGGGGGCAAGCGUUGUUCGGAUUUACUGGGCGUAAAGGGCGCGCAGGCGGCUCAUUUUGUCAGGCGUGAAAGCCCCGGGCUUAACCUGGGAACUGCAUUUGUGACUGCAUCGCUGGAGUGCGGCAGAGGGGGAUGGAAUUCCGCGUGUAGCAGUGAAAUGCGUAGAUAUGCGGAGGAACACCGAUGGCGAAGGCAAUCCCCUGGGCCUGCACUGACGCUCAUGCACGAAAGCGUGGGGAGCAAACAGG